UACAGAGGGUGCAAGCGUUAUUCGGAAUUACUGGGCGUAAAGGGUGCGUAGGUGGUUCGUUAAGUCUGAUGUGAAAGCCCUGGACUCAAUUCAGGAAGUGCAUCGGAUACUGGCAAACUAGAGCGCGGGAGAGGAGGAUGGAAUUCCUGGUGUAGAGGUGAAAUUCGUAGAUAUCAGGAGGAACAACAGUGGCGAAGGCGAUUCUCUGGACCGUUGCUGACACUGAGGCACGAAAGCGUGGGGAG
rnacentral:rRNA from 1 species